UGAAUUGGUAAAAGGUCGCAUUUAGUUAGGUUCGCCUGAAAGUUGGAGACUUUACCAUAUGUUUCCAUCUCCGCUAUUACAUAGGGUAAUGUCGAGAGCGGGUUCGCAAUUGUGAACAAAAGGUCAUCGGCAAAUGCCGUGACUUUGUACUCCUGUUUGUCAAUCUCAAAGCCCUGUAUGUUGUUAUUGUCUCUAAUACCCUGAAGGAAAGGUUCCAGGAAUAGUAUGAAGAGAAUAGGGGAAAGAGGACAUCCUU